rnacentral:rRNA from 1 species
AUUGAACGCUGGCGGCAUGCCUUACACAUGCAAGUCGAACGGCAGCGCGGGAGCAAUCCUGGCGGCGAGUGGCGAACGGGUGAGUAAUAUAUCGGAACGUGCCCAGUAGUGGGGGAUAGCCCGGCGAAAGCCGGAUUAAUACCGCAUACGACCUGAGGGUGAAAGCGGGGGAGUCGCAAGACCUCGCGCUAUUGGAGCGGCCGAUAUCAGAUUAGCUAGUUGGUGGGGUAAAGGCCUACCAAGGCAACGAUCUGUAGUUGGUCUGAGAGGACGACCAGCCACACUGGGACUGAGACACGGCCCAGACUCCUACGGGAGGCAGCAGUGGGGAAUUUUGGACAAUGGGCGCAAGCCUGAUCCAGCAAUGCCGCGUGCAGGAAGAAGG